rnacentral:rRNA from 1 species
AUGGAGAUGAAACCCAAAAGAUUUUCGUUGGGGCGUAACCCUCUCAGCGACGCGCCACAUCGGAACCCGGGUGUGGUGGAAAAUGGGCAAGGGCCGGGCCGUCACCCCCCAAGUGGCGCGCCGUAUCUUGAUCCGGAUACGCUGGCAAGUGAGCGAGGAUCGGGUCGUCGCAACCUUAGUGGCGCGCUACAUCGGCGCCCGGAUGUAGUGGAAAAUGAGCAAGGGUCUUCGCAUUUGACUCGACGAGUGCGAAGGGUAAGGAAGCUAGCCGAGCCUAGGAGGAUUCGCUUAGGUAGCUGGAACGUAGGGUCUCUGACAGGGAAGCUUCGGGAGCUAGUUGAUGCAGCAGUGAGGAGAGGUGUUGAUAUCCUUUGCGUCCAAGAAACCAAAUGGAGAGGACAGAAGGCAAAGGAGGUGGAGGAUACCGGCUUCAAGCUGUAG